CCCGUGCUCCGCCGCCGCCCCACGCCCGCCGCGCACCCACUUCACUUGCGCCGCCCGCGCCCGCCGCACCUCCCCCCUUCCCCCUCCCUCCUCUCGCGCUCUCUCCCUCUCUCCGCUCUCUCCCUCUCUCCUCUCCGUUUUUCUUUCUCAACCUCUUUUCUUCCCUCGCUUUCUCCCUCCUCCUUUGUUUUUCUCCCAGUGUUUUCUUUUGCGGUCGGUUUGCGAUCCUUCUCUCUCCUUUCCUUUUGUUUUUUUGUUCACAUUUUCUCCUUUCUUCCCUCUUUCGCUGGUUCGUUUCUUUUUCUUCUCCUCUACUUUUUUCCUCCUUCUCCCUUCCUUCCCUCUAUCUUCACCCUCCCCUUUCUUCCUUUCUUCUUUCUCCUCCUUUCUUUUCUUCCUUCCUUCCUUGCUCUCGCCUUUGUUCCUGUCUCCUCUCCUGCUCCCCUUCCUCCCCAGCCUCUGACUCUGAGUCUCCAGGUCCCCAACACUCACCUGCCCCCUCCCUGGGACCCUGGCAGCUGACCCCAGCCCUGGAGGCCCCACCCCUGCCCCUGGCUCCGUCGAGGUGGUCAAGUGACAGGCACCUGCACCUAUGUGUCGAGGAGCCCCCGGAGUGAGUGGAGUUUCAGCAAGUUCAUGGCACAACUUGGAGACCCAGGGCUGCCAAGCCAGGACCUACACGGCACUGCGGAAGCCACGCCCAGAGCGCCUGUCAAGGGUACAGUGUGGAGCCCAGAGAGGCUUGACCACGUGCGCAAGGCGCCCGGCUGGAGGAGGGCUGUGCCAGGCUGCCAUACACCCUUGCAAGGCUGUACUGUUAGGUGCCUCGGUUUCCCCAUCUGUCAGCAGGCAUCCAGGGACUCAUCCUCUUCCAUGAACCCUGUCUGAGCGGUCACCCUGAGCAGGUCCUGCCCAUGGGACACAGUAGCCACAGGGUGCCUGAGGACACCUGGCCAGGUGAGGUUGGGGUGGAAGUGAUGCCCACACAGUCCCUGGGAGACAAGAACAGAGGCUGGGACAUGUGGUCCAGUGGUUAGUGUCGUGGGCUUGGACAAGGUAGCUCUGAGCCUGCCUGGCCACGUGACCUCUGGCAUGGCACAGAGCUCCCUGAGUGUCAGUGUCCUGUCCCCAGACCCCUGGGGGAUGGAGAUCCGCCCAUGUGGACAAGGAAGCAUAGGGGAUCAGGAAUGGGCUGGGGGCUGGGCACGGCCAGGGCACCCAGACUUCCCCCUUGGGCCAUGUGGAGAGGAGCGACCCUCUGAGCUCCCUGGGGCUGGGCUGUGGUGCAGGGACGCUCAGGUUGGGGCCUCAGUGGACAGGGAUGGGCAGGAGAGGGCACCACUGCAGCUGUACGG
rnacentral:lncRNA from 1 species